GGCCGGUUAGCUCAGUUGGUAGAGCAACUGACGUGCAAGCAGGAGGUCCUGGGUUCGAUCUCCAGACUGGCUG